GAUGAACGCUGGCGGCGUGCUUAACACAUGCAAGUCGAGCGAGUGAGUUCUUCGGAACGAUCUAGCGGCGGACGGGUGAGUAACACGUGGGCAACCUGCCUCAUAGAGGGGAAUAGCCUCCCGAAAGGGAGAUUAAUACCGCAUAAAAUUAUCGAGUGGCAUCACAUGAUAAUCAAAGGAGUAAUCCGCUAUGAGAUGGGCCCGCGGCGCAUUAGCUAGUUGGUGAGGUAACGGCCUACCAAGGCGACGAUGCGUAGCCGACCUGAGAGGGUGAUCGGCCACAUUGGGACUGAGACACGGCCCAGACUCCUACGGGAGGCAGCAGUGGGGAAUAUUGCACAAUGGGGGAAACCCUGAUGCAGCAACGCCGCGUGAGUGAUGAAGGUCUUCGGAUUGUAAAGCUCUGUCUUUGGGGACGAUAAUGACGGUACCCAAGGAGGAAGCCACGGCUAACUACGUGCCAGCAGCCGCAGUAA
rnacentral:rRNA from 1 species